AGAGUUUGUUCCUGGCUCAGGACGAACGCUGGCGGCGCGCCUAACACAUGCAAGUCGAACGAGCGAGAGAGAGCUUGCUUUCUCGAGCGAGUGGCGAACGGGUGAGUAACGCGUGAGGAACCUGCCUCAAAGAGGGGGACAACAGUUGGAAACGACUGCUAAUACCGCAUAAGCCCACGGCUCGGCAUCGAGCAGAGGGAAAAGGAGCAAUCCGCUUUGAGAUGGCCUCGCGUCCGAUUAGCUAGUUGGUGAGGUAACGGCCCACCAAGGCAACGAUCGGUAGCCGGACUGAGAGGUUGAACGGCCACAUUGGGACUGAGACACGGCCCAGACUCCUACGGGAGGCAGCAGUGGGGAAUAUUGCACAAUGGGGGAAACCCUGAUGCAGCGACGCCGCGUGGAGGAAGAAGGUCUUCGGAUUGUAAACUCCUGUUGUUGAGGAAGAUAAUGACGGUACUCAACAAGGAAGUGACGGCUAACUACGUGCCAGCAGCCGCGGUAAAACGUAGGUCACAAGCGUUGUCCGGAAUUACUGGGUGUAAAGGGAGCGCAGGCGGGAAGACAAGUUGGAAGUGAAAUCCAUGGGCUCAACCCAUGAACUGCUUUCAAAACUGUUUUUCUUGAGUAGUGCAGAGGUAGGCGGAAUUCCCGGCGUAGCGGUGGAAUGCGUAGAUAUCGGGAGGAACACCAGUGGCGAAGGCGGCCUACUGGGCACCAACUGACGCUGAGGCUCGAAAGUGUGGGUAGCAAACAGGAUUAGAUACCCUGGUAGUCCACACUGUAAACGAUGAUUACUAGGUGUUGGAGGAUUGACCCCUUCAGUGCCGCAGUUAACACAAUAAGUAAUCCACCUGGGGAGUACGACCGCAAGGUUGAAACUCAAAGGAAUUGACGGGGGCCCGCACAAGCAGUGGAGUAUGUGGUUUAAUUCGACGCAACGCGAAGAACCUUACCAAGUCUUGACAUCCUGCGACGCACAUAGAAAUAUGUGUUUCCUUCGGGACGCAGAGACAGGUGGUGCAUGGUUGUCGUCAGCUCGUGUCGUGAGAUGUUGGGUUAAGUCCCGCAACGGGCGCAACCCUUAUGGUCAGUUACUACGCAAGAGGACUCUGGCCAGACUGCCGUUGACAAAACGGAGGAAGGUGGGGAUGACGUCAAAUCAUCAUGCCCUUUAUGACUUGGGCUACACACGUACUACAAUGGCGUUAAACAAAGAG
rnacentral:rRNA from 1 species